GACGUAGGGGGCGAGCGUUGUCCGGAUUCAUUGGGCGUAAAGCGCGCGUAGGCGGCUGCGCAAGUCGGGUGUGAAACCCCGGGGCUCAACCCCGGAACUGCAUCCGAUACUGCGUGGCUAGAGGUAGGUAGGGGAGAUCGGAAUUCCUGGUGUAGCGGUGAAAUGCGCAGAUAUCGGGAAGAACACCCGUGGCGAAGGCGGUUCUCUGGGACGGUACUGACGCUGAGACGCGAAAGCGUGGGGAGCGAACAGG
rnacentral:rRNA from 1 species